rnacentral:lncRNA from 1 species
GCCAUAAUUGUUAAUGAAUUGGCUGGUUAUGGAUUUAACCGUGAGCCGGAUGGCUAGAUUAUUGCCGUGUUACGGCGGAGCCAUGUUUAUGGCCAAGUAUAAAUGCAUAUAUGAUGUUGAUUGAAUUGUGAAGGUUUGCACUUCCACCAUUGGAGAUGAGGGUUUCCCUGGGUAGUAGCAAUGGCUAGCCACCAUGUGCUCCAGGUUGAGACUCGAAGCUCUUUUGACCCUAUGUCGUAAGUGUGGCCGGGCACUGUGAAAGGCCCGGAUGAGCUCGCCCCCAUAAAUAUUCACCAGUGAUGGUGAUGGGUAAAUAUUCACCAGUGA